GGUUUUUUUCACAGAUUGAAAUCUGAGGCUAUGUUUGAACAACAAUCUUCUCAGAAACUAUUAAAGAUAAAACCUGACAUUUUUACUGAUCAGUUGCAAAAUCAGGUUUUGUUGAAUCCAUCACAUACGGCGCUUUGCUGCAUCCUGAUACUUAAUUAUAUCAUGUAUUGGUUUUCACAGCACCCUCAGUCUAACUAAUAUUGAUGAGUGCAGAUGGAUAUUUCUUGCAAAAUCCAAGUUGUUAAGUGGUGCAAAAAUGCAGGUAAUUUGUUUCAAACUAACCUUUUUUUCCAUUUCUGUUUCUUUCAAAGUUUUCUCCCCUGUUUUAAAACAUAACCAGCCUUUCAUGGUUACAGCUACCACUCACUAGGACAAAACUGAAAAACAGUAUUUGCCAUGGCCAGGAUUUAUGUUCAUAUAUUCAUCCAUUAUGACUGUUGGUCAUGGCAAGAUUUUACAUACAACCUCAGUGCUACCAGUCGGUGUAGAGAGCCUUCUACAGUUUUACCUUAAAGUUAAUCAUGUCAAACUUGUAUCUCCAGUUUUCAUUUUCAUUUUGUUUUCAGGUCAGUCUUCUAACUUUUAAAAUCUUGUCUGGAAACACUGGAGAAGACAGAGCUGCACAUCAUGGAUGGAUCAUCAGAGUUUAUUUAAAGCACUGCAAACACAAUUAGAUGAAUCUUCAGUAGAUUUUCAGUUUUGAUCUUCUAUCCUGACAGUUUUUGUCGCAAUAUUCUGUAAAACUGAAGCAGGUGUUGGAAGUGUUAUUUCAAAGCUGCUGCAAAUGUUCAGUGUUUCGUCAUGAGACAUCUUCAGAGAGAAACCUGUGGCUUAUGUAUGUAUGUAUGUAAAGAAUGUAUAUGAAGUUUAUGUGUAUAUGAAUGUAGGAACAAAGCCAAGCAUGUCUAUUUGUUAUGUGUGUGCUUCACAUUAUACAUUAAAUAUGACUGCAUUGCCAAGACAAUCAGUUUGAUAUAUAACAAAAUAUUCCUGGAUAGAACCUUGUAAAGAAAAAAUACAAUAAACUGAAAAGGUGAUAUUUAGUUGAGGUAGCAAGUGAUGUGUGGAUUGUCAAAGAACCAAAGCAUCAAUAAAUUGUUUGAAAAGAA